GGAAGUAAAAGUCGUAUCAAGGGCCUCCGUAGGUGAACCUGCGGAGGGAUCAUUACAGAGUUCGUGCCCUCGCGGGUAGAUCUCCCACCCUGUGUUAUUGCUACCUUUGUUGCUUUGGCGGGCCGCCCUCGGCUACCGGCCCCGGCUGGUACGCGCCCGCCAGAGGACCCCAAACCCUGAACGUCAGUGUCGUCUGAGUACUAUACAAUAGUUAAAACUUUCAACAACGGAUCUCUUGGUUCUG
rnacentral:misc_RNA from 1 species